UCGUCAACAGAACACAAACAACACAGUACCGUACAAUACAUCACCGUACAAUACAUCACCGUACAAUACUUGCCGUGUACAGUGUACAGUUGGCAUUGUAGAUCUCUAGAACUUCACAAAAUCUCAGACAUAAUAGUCGAUCAGAUAGUUCGAUUAUCCAAUUCAACGGUUCAGUAGAAACAGUGUGAAAUUAAAGUGAACAAUAAUGUUUCUGAAAUAAAAUAAAGUUGAGGUUGAGUUGAAGAAAAGAGAAUUCCCAACCGUGCCAAAAUGAUGAUUCGUAUCACUUGUUUAUUAUUCCUCGUACAUCUAUUAACAGGUAUAUCCUGUAAUCAAGAGUUCUCUACUGAACCUGCGAAUGUUGAAGUUACUCCUGGACAUAAUACAACUCUAGACUGUACAAUCAGUAAUCUAAAGGGACAGUGCAGGUGGCAGAAGGAUGGCAAGCCUGUUGGAAUGUUCCCUGGUAAAUAUGAGAUGAGAAGAGAAGGGGAGGGAGAAGGAGACUGUUCACUUUCUGUACUCAAUGUUGAUCUCAAGUUUGAUGAUGGACUAUGGGAAUGUCAGGUGACCUCCAGUAGUUUCCAGGCUCAGGAUUCUCUUGUGUCGAGGAAAGCUCGUCUGACCGUCAGAGUUCCUCCUGAGAUGAUAACCAUCCAGUACUCUGGGAGCAGUGUAGUGGAGGGGGGCAUCAUCACCCUGGUGGAGGACAAGCAGGAGAACAUCGUCUGCAUCACAAGAUUCAGCAACCCUGCUCCAAUUAUAUCCUGGAGACUUGGAGGCAAUAUUUACCCUUCAAUUUCACAGGAAAAUUUUACCGAAGCUGUUCCGAGUAAAUUUCGGAGUGAAGGAACGCUAGCCCUAGCUUUUACACAGAAAAAUCAGGGCGAGAGACUAGAAUGUGUUGUUAGCCAUCCUGCAUAUCUGGAGGGGGAUGGGUCAACACAUGUAGAAAUAGACGUUCUAUAUAAACCGCGCGUUGAAAUUACUCGUGUCUCAAAUUCCGUGGUGGAGGAAGGUAUUGGAAGCGUAGCGUUGACCUGCUCAGCUGUUGGUAACCCUCCUCCUAGGGUUCUAUGGACCAGGUUUGGUGAGGAUACACCACAAUAUGUGGAGACCAUAGAAUUCAACCCGGUUACCCGACAAAACGCAGGUUCAUACAUUUGUUCAGCCGAAAAUACAAUUGGUAAAUCUAAUCAGGAAACUACACAAGUUGAUGUUCUAUAUGCUCCUGAAAUAGUAUCCUUAAGCCCUCGUGAAACUGUGCUAGUGAUGGCUAGAAACCAGACUAAGUUGACCUGCACUGCUAGCGGUAACCCGGAGCCAAAAUAUCAGUGGCUUCAGCUACAGCAGUCCCAGGUUGUAAAAAAACGAUCUGUAACCCCCGACCUCAUUCUUGAUGAUGUAAACUACGAGGACCAAGGGGAGUAUGUUUGCGAGGCCGUUAAUAUGAUCGGAGGUGAGAAGAGGGUUGUGAGGAGCGAGGUUGUUAAGGUGGAGGUUGAAGGUGUUCCCUUGGUAACGAGGAUGGUGAAUGAGGUUGUAGCAGUGAGUGGACGUGAUGUGAGGCUAGAGGCUGAAUUCUGUUCUGAUCCUCUACCUCUAAGAAAUACCUGGGAGUGGGAGGAUAUUAGUCUACCAGCAGGCACUGAAAUAGAGAGAAGUGGAACUAAGUAUUCCGCUGAACUAGAGGAACAUCCCAGUAAUAAGGAUUGUUAUAUAUCCAGGUUGACCCUGAAGGGUGUUGGACAAGCUGAUAGUCGCAGCUAUACCUUAAACGUAGAGAAUAUGCAUGGAACUGAUCUAGCGCCGGUCAAACUAGCUGUAAGAGAAGAGCACAGAGCUGAUCCUGUAUCUAUGGCAUCAGUUAUCGGUGUAGUGAUUGCUCUCCUAAUCAUCUUUGUCCUGUUAUCGAUCAUAUUAUUGGUCGCGUACAAGAAACAGAAACUUUGCUUUAAAGAUGGGGAUCUGGACGCACUUGAGAAAUCAAAGAGCAACAAGUACUCAUCAUACAACGGAAUAGAUGUUAAAGAUAUUUCUCCCAUCAAGGAGAAACAAACAGCAUUCCCUCCCAGCACCAAGGUUUAGUUCCGAAAAGCACCGACGGAGGAACUAACUGCAGUUAGUUCUUGAUUGCACCGCUACACUUUGACUAGCAGCACUAGUCACUAUAGUUCCACAGCUAAAUGGUUCACCAGUAUACCACUAUAAUGGAGAUAUUGGUGUUCCAAUUUAUCAGCUUUAUGUUCCCUCAAGUUUAUCCUCCCUGGCGAGCCAUAACUCUACAGCCGGUCAAAC
rnacentral:misc_RNA from 1 species